AUUAGCCACUCUUGGUCAUGGAUCACAUGGAAACAUGUAACAAUGAUGUUUCCUUCAGGCCAAAUUAUGCCAGAACCAUUAUGAGUUCAGAUACAGACGUUGUAGCAAAGUGACAUUGAACAACAUACAAUUAAAAACUCUAUUUUUUCAAACAAGUAUUACUUUAAAAAAAUCUACUCGCUAUAGUUCACCUAGUAGAGUCUCUUUCCUCUCUCUUCGUCACCUUGCCAGAAACGGCAAGGUCAAACCUGUAGAUUCGCGUGUAGCAAGCCCGGUAUGGCUAGUUUGGCAAGACAAUUAAUGCCUCACCCUCUCUCCACCACAGCUCAGCCAAGAGCAGAUAUGGGUGUGGACUAGGUUGAGACCUUUUCAGCCCAUAGCUGCUCACCCUCCCGAUGACUUUGUUGCUGAGGAUAUGUCAUACGCGCGGAGAUGGUCGCGAGGCCGUACCAGAGGUGUGGAGACGCACCAUGUCAGUCUCUCGUUUAGGGAUCAGUUAGACAACAUGACGGCGCCCGAGGCUUUCAUAUGGACGCCGUAUGAUCAGAUUUUGGGUCAGCUGUCGGCAUUUUGUAGGGCUGGUGAGCACAUAUGGAUUGCACGGUGUCCAUUGAUCUAUAUGGAACAUCGUUGAGCAUCACGUGCCCGACCGCGUGUUACGGCAGUUUGGGCAUGUACAGAACAUACCCGCGGCUACACGUUGGGAGCACACCCACUAUACCAGGGACGAGCGUUCGAUCGACAAUGCGGCAUGGCGGGCGCGUAUGCACCAGGAAGUCGAUGCAUGGAACGCGAGGAUGACGACUCUAGCGGCGGUCGGACAUGACACUCCGGUCCAUGAGUACAUGACGUGCUACGGAUGACUCUGAUGAUACGCCAUAAGAGCAUUCCCCGUAUGGAGUCCACCGACCCCGGGAUAGCGGCAUAUGCAGCACGGAUAGUUCAGCUUACCGACAUUGGUAUGACACGGGCACAGGAGUGGCAUCGUGUCGAUGAGAAUGUUCCAGAGCCUGCUCCAGAGGGUAGUCCAGAGGGUGGUAGGGCUGAUAGAGGUAGUCGGGCUGGCAGAGGUCUAGUAGAUGAGCCUGACGAUAUAGCCCGUCAGGCUCCGUCGGCUACAGAUAUCCCGUCGACUUCUUCUUCCAGGCCGUCGACUUCACAGAGACCUGGAUAUACGCCAGAGAUGUUCCCACAUUAUGAUCCUUGGUCAUCAUUUCCACAGGUGCCAGUUAGUGAUCUACAUAUGGGAGACGGAGAUGAGGACAUAAACUUGGAUAUUAUUUUCGAUGACUACUUUCUUCGUUCUACAGCCAGGCCUACGGCACCAUCGCAUCUCGGCUCGCGGCCGCUCGUGAAGCCCUCUCACAUGCCAUCUCAGGAGCCUGUCGACACACAGGUUUAUUUUUUUACAAUAAAAUAAUGUAUUAAUUAAUUAUUUUAUUAAUCCAAACUAAAUUAUUUACAUGUAUUAUAGGUUCACCGCGCCUGUGGACCCAUCUCCUCUUGUUCAGAUUGACCCGUCUCCACCUCCAGCUAUAGCUCCGGGUAGUGCUCAGGAGACCGUUGAGGAGCCAGCUAAGGAACCCUCUGACCAGCCAUCUCAGGAGGCCGUCGACACACAGUUCAUUCUUCUGCUCCUGUGGUCCAGUCUCCUUCAAUUGAGUCAUCUCUUGAGGCAUCUAAUGAGGCUACUCAGGUGGCUACCGCCGCCGUCUCCCACAGGAAGCAUAUUUUCACCCACGGCCUGAAGAAGGGAAGAAAGGAUGAUCAUGGCAUAAAUCAUCCUGUGAUUAAGAGGAGGAGAGAGGAUCCUGAUGAUAAUGAGGGUGGUGGGGUUAGGAGGAUCCUUAGGCCUUAGGAGA